UACGUAGGGUCCGAGCGUUGUCCGGAAUUAUUGGGCGUAAAGAGCUCGUAGGCGGUUUGUCGCGUCUGCUGUGAAAUCCCGAGGCUCAACCUCGGGCCUGCAGUGGGUACGGGCAGACUGGAGUGCGGUAGGGGAGAAUGGAAUUCCUGGUGUAGCGGUGGAAUGCGCAGAUAUCAGGAGGAACACCGAUGGCGAAGGCGGGUCUCUGGGCCGAUACUGACGCUGAGGAGCGAAAGCGUGGGGGGAGCGAACAGG
rnacentral:rRNA from 1 species